rnacentral:tRNA from 1 species
UAAAAAAUAAGCUAAAAAAGCUUUUAGGUUCAUACCCUAACUAUAAAGAAAUUAAUCUUUUUUUUUAA